rnacentral:rRNA from 1 species
GUGAGUAGUUCAGAGUUUGAUCCUGGCUCAGGACGAACGCUGGCGGCGUGCCUAACACAUGCAAGUCGAACGGAAACAAGACUCCGGUUUUGUUUUAGUGGCGAACGGGUGAGUAACGCGUGAGAAACCUGCCUUUCAGUGGGGGACAACAGUUGGAAACGACUGCUAAUACCGCAUAAUGUACACGGACCGCAUGAUCUGUGUACCAAAGCUUUAUGUGCUGAAAGAUGGUCUCGCGUCUGAUUAGCUAGAUGGCGGGGUAACGGCCCACCAUGGCGACGAUCAGUAGCCGGUCUGAGAGGAUGAACGGCCACAUUGGGACUGAGAUACGGCCCAG